GUAGCACACACAAACUUUAUUGAGUGAGGGAGGCGUGAACAAGUUUAUAUGUAGGGCAAUGGAGGAAUCCCUCACAGCAGGAGGCUGUCUAGGGUCUACAGAGCAGAGUUGCUACUCAUAAGGGGAGGAAGGCAAGCAGGGAAAGUCCAAGGGAAAAGGAUGCUGGAGAGGCGCUUUACCUGUCUAGAUGCUGUCUCUCAGUAGCACUGUGGAGACUGUGUUAGAGAACCACAAAGGGCAGCAGCAGCAGUGUCUUGGUGUCCUCUACAAGGCUUAUUUGAGGAAUUCAAAGGAUUGGCAGAUUUCACCUGGAUGUCUGGGGACCAUGAUCCACCUUGUAAGAAGUUCAAAUAUCCUGAGGUUGCCAAACUCUGAGAAGCCUAAACCACAAGAAGAGCCUAAGCGGAUGAUUGGAUGAUUUGCUUUGCAGAAAAUGAAAUACAAAGACCAAGACCAUGGAGGAGACAGACUGGCCAGUAGAUCCUCUGUUAGACACCCCAACUGAAGCUACUUUCAUCAGAGGCUAAGCAUCCAGCCUAAGAACCAAGUUCAUUGCAAGUUUAUGACACAUAACGUUAUUAGUGAAAUGAAAUGGUUAAACCAGGUGCUUUUAGGGUAGUGUGUUACAAAGAAAUAGAUAACCAAGAUGAUGUUAGCAUAAGACUCCUCAGAUUUCAACAAAUCUGAAUUUAUGAAGAAAACCAAUGUUUCAAAGUUAUUUUUCCUUUCCUUAUACCUCCUGAUUGAUGCAUUCUUUUGUUGUUUUUAAUAAGAAUCAUUAACUGUAAUAACACAUCCAAAGUCACUCAAAUAGUUUGGCUUUCAAUAAAUGAACCAUGCAAUAUUGACAUUUACACUAGUUAAUCUUCCUAGGGGAUGAAUUUUACCAGCUAGGAAAAUUACUUUGUAUUUACCUGCUGAAGUCUUUAAAAAAAAAAAAAAAAAGCUAAAAAAAAUUGUUUCCAUCUCAGGAAACAUUUUAAUACAAUUUCUCCUUUUUAGACAAUGUUUCUUAGUAUUUUAUAAUAAAUUAUGAUUUUAAAUAAAAUUGAAUACCUAAAGAAAAUAUAUUUUACAAAGGAUUAACUGUAUUUCAAUAUAGAUAUGUAUUUCCUUAAGAACAUUUUGGGUAUAGUGGAUAUGAUUGGCUUUAUUAAUUUAGAAUAUUUGUAUUCAAUGAAAUAUUUAUUUCGAAGAAUUUCCCAGUGAUUAAACUUCUGUUUGCUACCACAGUGACUGAUUGUGCAUACACUAUAUUUCUGGAUAAGAAUAUUAGAGUGAAAAAGUAAACUGUGGAAUAUAUUAACAAGUGUUUUUGUGUUAAGGAUUUGUCAUCUGAAAAUACACUGAAAAUAAUAUGAGACUUAAAAUGAUUGAACGGAAAUAAAAAAAAAUUGUAUUAGCAGGGUACAGGACCAACAUUAGUAAGACAGUUAAAUAAAUAUAGAUGCCAAAUGUCAAAAGAGGAUGAAAUCUGUACAUUUAAUCUUAUAAUUUUAAAAUAUUCAUACUGAAAUUAAUAUUUUUAAUAACCAUCAUUGAAGUUUGCCUAAAAUGCUGCAAUAUUUCAUUGACCAUCUUACAUUAUUAAGAUUUAAUUUUGUGAGGUCAUGAUAUAUAGAGUUUUAAAGAAAACUAACAAAUGUUAUCUAAAUAUUUUAGCCAAAAUAAAUACCUGGAAAAAAUAUACUUUUAUCCAUGAUUAAUAAUAGUUAUUAUUUCAUUUAAAGGUGAUCAUAUUAGUUGAUAUAAUAUAUCAUUAUUUUAUUUAGUAAGAGGUAUUAGCUAAUAUGGGAGGCUUUGAAACAAGAUUUCCCAGGUUCAAAGACUGGUU
rnacentral:lncRNA from 10 species